rnacentral:rRNA from 1 species
UACGUAGGGUGCGAGCGUUAUUCGGAAUUACUGGGCGUAAAGCGUGCGCAGGCGGUUUUGUAAGUCUGACGUGAAAUCCCCGGGCUCAACCUGGGAAUUGCGUUGGAGACUGCAAGGCUGGAGUCUGGCAGAGGGGGGUAGAAUUCCACGUGUAGCAGUGAAAUGCGUAGAGAUCGGGAGGAACACCAGUGGCGAAGGCGGCCUUCUGGACCAGUACUGACGCUCAUGCACGAAAGCGUGGGGAGCAAACAGG